rnacentral:rRNA from 1 species
GACAGAGGGUGCAAACGUUGUUCGGAAUUACUGGGCGUAAAGCGCGUGUAGGCGGCCCUGCAAGUCGGAUGUGAAAUCCCACGGCUCAACCGUGGAAGUGCAUUCGAAACUGCAGGGCUAGAGUCCUGGAGAGGAAGGUGGAAUUCCUGGUGUAGCGGUGAAAUGCGUAGAUAUCAGGAGGAACACCGGCGGCGAAGGCGGCCCUCUGGAUCGUUGCUGACGCUGGAGACGCGAAAGCGUGGGGAGCAAACAGG